CUAAAUUGUUGAUCUCUGACAAGCUUUUGAUCAACUGAGUAUCUUCUUCAGUUCUCACAGUGCAGGACUGGUUGUCUCACCCGAUUGAAUUUGUGUUGCAGACGCCCUCAUCUCCUCAUGCAGUUACAAAGACAGUUUCAGCUUUCAGACGGUCCAUGCUGGCAGAGGUGUCGCUAUCGGAGUCGCCAUCUACUCCUGCAGCGAUUCUGCCCAUAUUCUUCCCCUCAAUCAGACGCCUAUCUGUGGCCCAUCUGUCAAAAUCUUUGAUUCCAGCGAGGAAGGACAGAUAAAGGAAGAGAAGAAUGUGCUGUCGAUGUGGAAAAGGAACAAGGACGGCGAGUGUCCUAAUCUUAACCUCUGCAAAUGUCCGUGAAGAUGAAGCAGCUAUUAAGAUAAAUCAAAGUGAUUCAUUUUGGGGUUUUUUUGACCGAGUUUAGCUAAACAAAUUAGAUUUGAUGUUACUGAAAACAAAAGUGUAAAAUGUGCGGGGCCUCAUGAGGGGAACAGAUUUAAUUUGAGGCCUCAAAAACUUUCACCACACGAUCAAAUCUGGUCAGUCGUUUCAGUCAAAUAACUCUUUGGUUAAAGCAUCUUUUUUAUUUAUUUGUGUUUUGUUUAAACAUUGAUUUUAAUUGAAACAGGCAGGUCAGUAAAUCAAUUUGUGUUUUUAAUUAAUUAAUUAACAUAUUUAUUAAACUGUUUAUAAUAUGUUUAUAGUAUUUAUUAGCAAAAGAAGUCGAUUGAAGUUUAUUAACAUACUUAGUAAGAUUCAUUAUCAUCUGAAGUGACACCAUUGUCUAAAGAGGGCAUAUUAAUAAACGGCCUACAAGCUUAACAAAUGUA